GACGGAGGAUGCAAGCGUUAUCCGGAAUUAUUGGGCGUAAAGGGUGCGUAGGUGGUCGGUCAAGUCCCAUGUCAAAGCAUGGUGCUUAACGCCAUAAAGGCGUGGGAAACUGCCGGACUAGAGUACAGCAGGGGCAGGAGGAAUUCCCGGUGUAGCGGUGAAAUGCGUAGAUAUCGGGAAGAACACCAGUGGCGCAAGCGUUCUGCUGGGCUGUAACUGACAAUGAGGCACGAAAGCUAGGGGAGCGAAAGGG
rnacentral:rRNA from 1 species